rnacentral:rRNA from 1 species
UAGGGAAUCUUCGGCAAUGGACGAAAGUCUGACCGAGCAACGCCGCGUGAGUGAAGAAGGUUUUCGGAUCGUAAAACUCUGUUGUUAGAGAAGAACAAGGACGUUAGUAACUGAACGUCCCCUGACGGUAUCUAACCAGAAAGCCACGGCUAACUACGUGCCAGCAGCCGCGGUAAUACGUAGGUGGCAAGCGUUGUCCGGAUUUAUUGGGCGUAAAGCGAGCGCAGGCGGUUUCUUAAGUCUGAUGUGAAAGCCCCCGGCUCGACAGGGGAGGGUCAUGGGAAACUGGGAGAAUUGAGUGAAGAAGAGGAGAGUGGAAUUCCAUGUGUAGCGGUGAAAUGCGUAGAUAUAUGGAGGAACACCAGUGGCGAAGGCGGCUCUCUGGUCUGUAACUGACGCUGAGGCUCGAAAGCGUGGGGAGCAAACAGG